rnacentral:lncRNA from 1 species
GGCUCAUUCCCAAAGUAAUGCCUCGCCCUCACAGCUAAGUGGAAACCAAACCAGCCACCAGAGAAAUGGAAGUUAGGCCAUUGUAUCAGUCAGGAUAUUCUUUUAAAUAACCAGAGGGCUUUGUUGUCUCUUAGAAUUGGAAUGUCAAGUGGGAAGAUAAGUUUCAGGGGCUGUUUGAUUGAGCAACCCAAAAAUGUCAUUAAGAAAAGAUCCGGCUUCUUUCCAUCUCUCCACUCUACUUUUUACAGGUCAAUGAAUCCAAGUUGUUUUUGUUUUGUUUUGUUUUCAUUAUGACAAAAUGGUGGCAGCCAUUCUAGACUGACACGCCACAGCAGCUGGAAGAAAGACACGAUCUUUUCCUCUGAUGCCUCUCUCAGAAGCAUUCCAGUUUAUGUCUUCCUCUUGCCUAUUUGAGGACUAAAGUCAAAAUGUCUAUACCAUCCUGUACAGCCACAUAUGGGUCUUGAGCACUUGAAAAGUGACUGGUCCAGCUUCACAUGUGCUCACUGUACCAGCCUCUGGAGGAAAUGCAAGAGACCUUCCAGACCUGAUCACCACACCCUAUUCAUAAUCUCGCCAUGGAGAAGAGACAUCCACUUAUGAAGCCAGCAGAACAGAUGUGGGCAACUUUCAAAAACGAAGUAACAAAUGGUCAGCUCCUGUUCUUCUGUAGUGCUGAGGAUGGAAGGAGAAAGAGUUCACACAGAAUGGGACCCUAGCGAUAUGAAAGUCAAGAAAAAUUAGGUUACCCAAGUCAUUGUCUUGCAUGCAACCAAACAAUCUUGAGUGAUCUAACAGAAUAUUAAGAAGUAUAAGGUAUCAACACCCUACUAUAUAAUCAGCUGAAGAGGGCCAUGGCCGUAUGACCCAGGUAAGAACUUUUACAAAUAAUGCAUCAACAACACAGGCUUCCUAUCAAAGCUUAUUGCAUCCAGAAUUUUGUAACCAGCUGACUGAUCUUCCUGUCUCCUGGUCCCUAUUCUUCACUUUUUUUUUAACCAGGUCUUGGGUUAGUUGAGUAGUUAUACCAGCUAACCAGAAGUUGGAUUAUUUUCCAAUGACAUGAUUCUGUCACGGCAUUGAUCUGCAAGCCAGAACCCGAUACGUAGUGUCCUACUAGAGCCAGAAUACCCCUUUUUAUGACCAAGGAACCAGAGGUAUAGUGAUUUCCAGAGUGGUACUUGUACCUGCAUCCAUUCAUUGCACAGACCUGCCUACUAGAAUGAAGGAGCAGCCACCCUACUAGCAAAAUGGCCCUGCAGUGAUAUAGGGCUUGAUGAGUAACAAUGCGUGUGGCCUCUGGAUCAAGGAGUUAAGAACUACCUGAACAUUGAAACCAAAACCAAAGCCAGAAAGUCCCUAUUCCAAAGGAAAGAGGCAAAGGGAAGAAUCCAGGUAAAAGCAUCAUGACAGAAUCCAGGAUGUUUCAGGAGUAGGCAGCAGUCACUGCUCUCCACUCUUACCCAAGUCAGCCUCUCUCUUCCCUCAGAUCGCUAACUUGGUUCCUGAGCACUCCAGGAGCUGACUAUAAAGUUGGUGAAUAAGAUGUAUACAAAUGAAAGAAUAUCUACAACAAAGAGCAGGGUUUUUUUUAUUUUCCUUUUUACUUUUUUAGGUUUUUUUUAA